rnacentral:rRNA from 1 species
UACGUAGGUGACAAGCGUUAUCCGGAAUUACUGGGCGUAAAGCGCACGCAGGCGGCGCAUUAAGUCUGACGUGAAAUCUCCUGGCUUAACUGGGAGGGGGUCGUUUGGAGACUGAUGUGCUUGAGGCGAUGAGAGGGGUGUAGAAUUCCCGGUGUAGUGGUGGAAUGCGUAGAUAUCGGGAGGAAUACCAGUGGCGAAAGCGACACCCUGGCAUUAGCCUGACGCUCAUGUGCGAAGGCGUGGGGGAGCGAAACGGGG